rnacentral:rRNA from 1 species
AUGGCGACGGGAAUGCCAGAGUGCUCCCCGGCCUUGCUGGUGGCCGCCGGCCUCGCCGUGCUAGCGAUCUGCUCGUACCUUGCCGCCAUCGUUGUCGGCCGCGGCGCCGCGCGGUACCCGCCUGUGGCCGGAACGGUGUUCCACCAGGUAUACCACCUCCGGCGGCUGCACGACUACUACACGGACCUGUUCCGCGAGCACGCCACGUUCCGGCUGCUCGCGCCGGGACGGAGGCAGAUUUACACCUCCGACACGGCGGUGGUCGAGUACAUCCUUAGGACCAACUUCGCCAACUACGGCAAGGGCGCGUCUAACUACGACAAGACGAGCGAUCUCUUCGGAGACGGCAUCUUCACGGCGGACGGCGACAAGUGGAGGCAGCACAGGAAGAUCGCCAGCUACGACUUCUCCGCGAGGGCCCUCCGGGACUUCAGCGGCGGCGUCUUCAACAGGGACGCCGCCAAGCUCGCGCACAUCGUCUCCGGCAACGCGGCCGCGAAGCAACCCAUGGACUUUCAGGACUUGCUGAUGAAAGCGACGAUGGACUCCAUCUUCACCAUCGCCGUCGGCGUGGACCUGGACACGCUGUCGGGGUCGGAGGAGGGGAGCCGCUUCGCCGCGGCGCUAGACGACGCCAGCGAGUUCACCCUGCUCCGUUUCGUCAAUGCGUUCUGGAAGGUGUCGAGGUUCCUCAACGUCGGCGCCGAGGCGGCGCUCCGGCGCAGGAUCGAGGUCGUCGACAAGUUCAUGUACAAGCGCAUCCGUGCCAGGGCGGAGGAGAUAUCGGACGGCGACAUUGGCAAGGCACACGACACUGUGUCCAAGGAUGAUCUGCUGUCGAGAUUCAUACAGGCAACCACCAGCGACGCCGGGGAGGUGGACUACAAGCACCUGAGAGACAUGAUACUGAACAUAGUCAUGGCCGGCAAGGACCCGACCGCCGGAGCGCUUGCCUGGUUCCUUUACAUGAUGUGCAAGCACCCGGAGGUCCAGGAGAAGAUAAGUGAGGAGGCUGCCGACGCCGGCGAGGCCACGUCGUCCAUCGACGACUUCUCCCGGAGCCUCACCGAGGAGGCGCUCAACAAGAUGCACUACCUGCACGCCGCCCUGACGGAGACGCUCCGGCUGUACCCUUCGCUCCCGCUGGAUAACAAGGAGUGCUUUUCCGACGACAUUUUGCCCAACGGCUUCAGCGUCGGCAAGGGAGACAUCGUAUUCUACGCACCCUACGCCAUGGGCCGGAUGGAGCGGCUGUGGGGCGAGGACGCCAUUGUCUUCCGGCCCGAAAGAUGGCUCGACGAGCGCGGCAAGUUCUUGCCGGAGAGCCCUUUCAAGUUCACAGCUUUCCAGGCUGGUCCAAGGAUCUGCUUGGGAAAGGAAUUCGCGUACAGGCAGAUGAAGAUCUUCGCGGCCGUGUUGCUCCGCUUCUUCGUGCUCGCGUUGUGUGACAAGGAUGAAAGCGUCAACUACAGGACCAUGAUCACGCUCUACAUCGAUCAGGGUCUCCAUCUUACGGCUACGGCGAGAGGCAUCGUGUAG